GCGACCCCAGGUCAGUCGGGACUACCCGCUGAGUUUA
rnacentral:rRNA from 1 species